UUCUCGCAACAGAAAGUUCCGGAACACCAGUAUAUAGCCUGUAUAGCAGCCUGCAGCAGUAUAGGCCUGCGAGGCACAUCAGUUCAAAGCGCAAAUUAAGGGCAAGAUGCAAACGGUGGACAAGGCCCGCCCCGCUCCCGGAAUCCAUAUUAUCCCGACAAGCACAGAGCGCUGACUUCAGAAUGCCCGACGUUGCGCUUUCUUCUGGAGCAAUCGUCGCCUGGGAGGACACUUCCUCGAGACCGGCCCUUAUGCAGAGACAUGAGAAGUACCUUGUGGUCAGUGAAGCGGCACACCAUGUACACCAUGUAUGCCAGCCACCACAUCGUCUACCCGAGGCGCCCUUUGGAAGACGUGGUCCACACACGUUCUUUAGUCAGUGAAGAUGGAACCUUUGGGGAAGGCAGAACUGACAAAGCACAGGGAAUGCAUAUCUAAGGCGAACUGGAAGUCUUUCACAUCAUCUUGGUUGAAGUCUCCUACCAUGAAGGCUUAUUCCUGACAAACCAGCAGCCAAUAAGGAAAGCCUGGAACAAGGAGAGACGAAGGCUGAAGCACGGCCAGCGAUACGUCCAGUUCUCGAGUAUUCCCUACCUUCUUGACAUGUGCCACACCUACCAAGCUUUCCUCAUCAGCUACUUCAUCUCCCCUUUCCGUUUGCAAACAACCCCUUGCGUGCAUGCUUAUCGCAAGGGUGACGGGUGGCGGGGAAGUGUAGAGAGAUGAAUGCUGACAAAGAAAGAAAACAGAGAGGGGACCUCUUUGUACGUGUGACACAUGUACGUGUGGUUUGUGUGCCCAUUAAAAUAAAACA